GCUGGUCAGUCAAUCAUCCUCAUGUUUCUCUUUUUGUGAUUUUGAUACAAAACUAAUAAAAACUGUGAAAACUGACUCAUUUUGUUAACUGUUGAACAAAAUUUUGUGUAACUGUAAAUCUAAUUUGUUUGUGUGUAAAAUCUACACACCAAUAUAAACAUUUUUCUGAUGAUUUCUAUGUUUCAGUUGUGAAGAGUCAGACAGACUGGAACGUGAUCUACCAUGAGACUGACAUCUGUGCUGAUAAAGGAUCAACUGUGUUCAUAUGGUGCUCAUAUGAUUAUCCAGAAAUUAUAAAUGGAGUCAGCACCAUUGUUGAAAAAAGCUUCUGGUUCAUUAGAACUGAAGGAGAACCUGUAGAUCUGAAAGAAGAUCCAGAAUACAAAGAUCAAGUGACUUACAGCAGUUAUUCAAAGAGUUGUGAUCUGAAAAUCUCUGGAGUGAGAGAGAGCGACUCAGCAGUUUAUAAGUUCAUGUUCAUAACAAACCAUCAAACUGGACGUUACAUCGGAGAACCUGGAGUGAGAUUAACUGUUGGAGACCUCCAGGUUCUGCUGGUUUCCACAUCAGUCCAGCAGGAAGAUUCAGACGUUCAGCUAAACUGUUUCAACAAAUGUGAUCCAGAUGGUUUGGAGGAAUAUGUCUGGUUCAUAAAUGGAGAAGAAACCAGAUCAAUGAUUCAAUCUGAAACCAGUCAGACGUUUCUGUACAGAAGCUGGAAUUCUUCCACAGACAGGAUCUCUUGUUCUCUGAGAGAUUCAAAGACGGAUCAAAGUCCUGAAGUUUAUGCUCCACAAACUCCAACUGUAUCACUGGAUCCCCCCACAGAGAUCCUGGAGGGCAGUUCAGUGACUCUGACCUGCAGCAGUGAUGCUAACCCAGCAGCUAACUACACCUGGUUCAAGGAGAACAAAUCAAAUGUUAAAA